rnacentral:lncRNA from 1 species
CAGGCCCAGCCCUGUGCCGGCGCCCCAGGGAGGGGCUCCAGAGUGAGUAAGACAUGGGCCCCACCCUCCAGAUGCCACUGUCAGAGGUGGUCUGGAACGCAGGCGCAAACACCGCACCCGCACAGCAGUGGGGGAUGCAGAACACUGGGGGCUGGGAUGUGCAGAGGGGCCUGGGAUGGACUCAGCAGCAUCCAGAUGAGGCUUGAAGGAUGGUUUUCAUAGUCACUGAAUUUUCCAGGAGUGCAACGACCGUGUCAAUUGAGGAGGGCUGUUCUUGGUUUCAUUUGGACGUUAACCAAGAGCUGGUCACCAUUUCGGAAAAUCGCGUCACCAUUGGCCUCACCCACGGGCACACCUGUGAGCAUCUGCACUUGCAGCUGUUGCCUUCCUGGGGACCCUGGAAGGGGGCAAGCGUCUGAAUCCUUCUUUAUGUGGCCGAGGGAGUCCAGCGUCCCUGUAUAUGAUUUUAUGGCAAAUUACCUUCCUUUUAAUCCUCUUUUAUAUUAUAAUGAAGACAUUAUAUUGUUUUAAACAUCAUAUGUACACGUGAAUUAUAUACCUGUAAAUUCAACUUCAGGAUAGAAAGGCAC